rnacentral:rRNA from 1 species
CCUACGGGGGACAGCAGUGAGGAAUAUUGGUCAAUGGGCGCGAGCCUGAACCAGCCAAAUAGCGUGAAGGAUGACUGCCCUACGGGUUGUAAACUUCUUUUAUAAAGGAAUAAAGUGAGGCACGUGUGCCUUUUUGUAUGUAUUUUAUGAAUAAGGAUCGGCUAACUCCGUGCCAGCAGCCGCGGUAAUACGGAGGAUCCGAGCGUUAUCCGGAUUUAUUGGGUUUAAAGGGAGCGUAGGUGGGUUGUUAAGUCAGUUGUGAAAGUUUGGGGCUGAACCGUAAAAUUGCAAUUGAAACGGGAAGCGUAGAGUAUAGGUGAGGUAGGUUGAAUUCGUGGGGUAGAGGUAAAAU